rnacentral:lncRNA from 1 species
GGGAGGCGGACCGGGAUAAGGCGGAGACCAUGUGCAAGGUGGCGCUCUGGUGCGUGCAGUUCCAGCCGUCGGCGCGGCCGACGAUGAGCAGCGUGGUGCGGAUGCUGGAGGGGGAGAUGGCCAUCGUGCCGCCGGUGAACCCAUUCAAGUACGUGUCGAGCGGCGGCAGCUCUAGCGGCUGGACACUGUCGAGCAGCACCGGCACCGGCACAUUCACGAGCAGCACCGGCACCGGCACGUUCACGAGCAGCAGCCGGGAUACGGGAAGGGACAGCGAGGUCUCGGAUGCAAGUGCUCCUCCUAAGCCGACGGAUGCAAUGCUGAAAGGUGUCAAGUCCACUGAUGCAGUGACGGCAUAGAGUGUGUACGUUUGCUUCUGUUUAUACUUACUUUGCAAGUAGAAAGUGCUUUGUAAAUUAGCAUUAUAGACUUCAUAUUCGAAAUCUUGCACACGAUGGUUUCUUCCAAACCUGUCAAAAUUUGAAGGACGCUCAUAUGGACCGUACUCGAAGGAUCGACCUGGCGAACAAAAUGGGUCAUACUAACAGGCGAAAAAAACCAUCUUCCUCAACAAAAAGGAUGUGUCUAGGACACAUCUAGAUGACUAAAUCAAGCAUAAGAAUAAUAACCACACGAAUUUCCACGUAAAAUCAGUGAUAGGAUUUAUAUGUGCAUAAUUUAUUAUCUCACAUCCAGAUGUGUUUCAAUAAAACAGCAACAACAAAAGUCUAACCGAUCAUGGCCAUCCUUGAGAAUAUUUGGAAACGAAGAAAUGCAAAAGCUUUUGUGAAUACAAAUUAGAAGUCCACUCCAUUGCUAGGGCCACGGCCUGCAACUUUGAUCCAACCGACUCAAAAGCAGAUCAUGCUCUGUGGAGUAAAGUUGUUCCACUUAGCCGGGUGAUUGUAAAUUAAUGGCUAACUAACCCCNNNNNNNNACAGGCAUAUCUCUAACUAUUCGCCUGUAAUGGUGAAAUUGAUUGAGUAAGAAAGUGGUUUGACCGGUUUAAGCCCGCCGUUGAUGUAUAAAAAAAUCAUAUGUGUGAACAUGUCAUGUGAUCAUACUAGUAGUUGCCAACACACUAUCGGAGAGAUUCAACGGUUAUGUUAUAGAUNUGCCAUGAUCUAAUCAAUGAACUUCGACAUGUUUUUGAAAAUGACACGGAUAGAGCUGGAACAUUCGUGAUGGAUCAUUCCCAACAUCACAAAACAUACUCCAACAGCGGUGUUCUCAUGCCAUGGAAAUGUUCGAGCUGGAAACAAUCCAUAGGCUAAUUUAUUUCGGGGAUGGCCAACUUCCUCAUACAUCAUAUGGCCAUGUUCAUGUUCAUAUGAAAAUACGGCAAAAAGGUGGCCAUUUGUAUAUGUAUUAAUACAAAAAUUGCCAUGUCCAUAUGAAAAUACAACAAAAGUAGGCCAUGUUUACGAUAAAAUCCAUCUAUAUGUAAUAUUUUUUAGCAUGCUCUUGAUUCCAUAUACAUUGAUAUUAUAUAAAAGAACACAACAAGAUGUUUGCCAUGUUCAUGAUAAAAUCAACUUACAUAUAAAAAUAGAAUCACCAUGUUCAUGAUAUCAUAUACACGAUUUAAUAAUAUGCAACAAAAAUAAGGAAAUUUCCCAACGUCUAGCGACAGGAUUUGUGAACAUAAAAACACAGAAAAAACAUUAAUGGUGGCUCUAUGUUUUUACGCAUUUUUACAGCUCAGUUGUUGCAUGUUCUCUCCAUGUAUCAUGCCCCGUUGAAUCAAAUACAUGUCCAUUGUGCACAGUGGCGGAUCUAGCUAUCUGGCAAGGCAUGGCAUCUGCCACACCUAAAAUCUGAAGCUAAUAUAUCUACCUGCUGAGCAUGGUAAUGGUACUAGUACGUAGCUGGCUAGCCGCUAAUUCUGAGAAUAAAGGCUGACUACGUUGUGGGGCUGAUGUAAACUCCACGGAACAAAAACACGAGAACAUGCACACAAAAUCAAUAGUAUUUAAAUUUUGGAUGUUUCGUUUCAGUGAAUUUUUGGACAGCUGCAGUAUACACGUAUUUCUCCUUGAUAAGCUCUGCCACACCAAAAAAAUAUUCCUGCCUUCGCCACUGAUUGUGCAUGAAUUUCAGUUUUCACUCUUUUCAUUAUGAGCAUUGCAUAGUUAUUAAUUUUAGUUACCCCCUCUGUCCCUAAAUAUAAGUCUUUUUAGAGAUUUUAUUAUGGGACUACAUACGAAGCAAGAUGAGUGAAUUUACACUCUAAAAUAUGGCUAUAUACAUCCGUAUGUAGUCCUUAAGUCAAAUAUUUAAAAAGACUUAUAUUUAGGAACAAAGGAAGUAAUUUUAAUUAUUUUUUUGUGUCUACAAGUGUUUUGGAGCAAACUAAGACCAAGCAUGAUGAAAAGGCAAAGGAAGGGUUUGAUCCGGAGGACUUCCAGUCAUGAGACCUACACAUUUUUUAGAGUGAAUAUGUCAUUUUUUUAAAGUGCUCCAAAUCUAGAUUUAAUACGACUCAAACGAUCCUAAAAUUGUCAAAUAUCGACUUUGUAUGAGAAAAUGACGACCAUAUUACCUAAGAGUCCACAACGUUUGACGACCUAAGGUACGACCAAACUAGGUCAUACUAUUGGUCAUGCCAAGCUCACACAAGCACGAAAAUUAUCACAUCCGACGAGAUUCUUCGCAAAUUUCAUCCUGUUUGUUCCUACAACUUUCUUGGCCAUCACUGGAUAUUCUGGCAAAGGAUUUGGCUCACCUAGAGACCUUGGACCAAUGGUGAGAACCUACAUAGAUGAAGGAGGCUUUGGUAGAGCCCUUAUAAAUACCUCCGCAACUCUAGUUGUCGUCAUGAAUCAUGUCAUUCAUCCAAUAUAAAUCUCCAUCACCUCCAUUGCUGCUCCAACAAAAUCUCCUUAUAAGAAGGGACAAUAUCAAGAGGAAGAGGAGGACAUUCCACCAACAUGUGCGCCAUCUUUCAUGUCGGUGCCAUAUCCAUCGUGUCGCCUUCACUAGCACCACCUCCAUCACCACCGCCGCCAGCUUAAUCAUCAACACCAGCAUCAUCGUUGGCAUCGCCAUAAGCAAUACCGACAUGACUUCACCCUUCACCACCUCGGUGCUGGCUUGUAACUUGACCCUCUUUUUAUGUUUUCCUUUUACAUGUUUGAGCAGGCCUACUUGUUCUUGGGGAUACGGAUGAACGCUAUAAGAUUCUCUCCCUAAUAAUAAAGCAAAUAGGGUUUCUGGUCGUCCGUCAUGGCAUUUUUGCAAAAAAAGUCCCUCCGUUUUCGUGGAAUCAACCCGCAGUCCUUGAUUAAGUUGAAUAAAACGUUUUAUUUUUUCAAAAAAAAACCUGUCCUCCACCGGUCUAGGGAUGGGGGUGGAUCGGGAUGGUCCGGUCCCGAUCUGGCUGAGGAGGAGGUCGGUCCGUCGACGGCAGCUCCAGCGCCGGCGAGCGUCGCGGCGAUGGUCAGAGGUGGAGGCGGGGCCGAGGGACGCGUGGGGCGGUCGGAUCCAUGGCGAUCCGGGCCGGAUCUGGCGACGGGCGUAGCGGACCAUGCGGCGNGGAGGGUCGUCCGCGGACACGCCCUCGUCGCACGCGUUCAACGGUAGGGCCCUCUGCCACCUCCCCGCCGCAGCCCCCGCUGAGCGCCCUGUCGAGGCCGGCCGCCGCGGACCACUGCGGCUUCAAGCCGGCGCUCUGGAGCCCGGCAGAUCCAGCCAAGCACUUUGUACAAGAGAAGCCUGUGCCCGCAACCUCCAGUCCCAAAUCCAAUGGUACGUGCCUGCCCUCUCCACGUCACCGCACUGCGUUGGUAUGCAUGUGUACACACGAACGAGGCCUCAAACUUACGCAAAUCUUACGCCGACCAGGUGAGCACGGGCCUGUCCCUUACGGUGCCGUCGAGCCACCGAACGGAGCCCCCUUCAAACCAAAUGUACAGCAGCGGCAGCAGGAGGAGCAGCGCGGCGGCGCCGGCGCCGACAUCGACACCGACGGAGGAUGAGAGGGUACGUAUUAUAUAUGUCUCACGCCGCUCCCAUGAUGAACUUCAACUUGUUUGUGAUGGAUGGUCGCUGAGGAUUUGGGUAGAGUGUAGGAAACGGCCAGCGUGGAUAGGUCAUGGCCCUUCAUGUUCAAGGAGAUUAGUUCAUGAUGAGGGGAACAUCAAGCUUUAUUGAUCACUCUGAAUGUCUUCACACGUACAUUUCAAACACAUGGAAUUUAGGACCACCACACAGGAUGUUUAAAUUUGAGGUUAAAUUCUGCGCAAUUUUACAUAAUGCACAGUCACACAAAUUGUUGAUGGUCAUCAAAGGCACUAUCUUAGAAGGGGAACGACACCAUGCUGUUGAAAAUUCCGGCCAGUUCGAAUACACCGCAGGUAAGUAUGCACUAAAUGGACUUAGUGGCGGUUGGCUUUGAGGAGGGAGGCGACGAGGAGCGGGGAGCUCGGGCGGACGUGCAGAGGGGAUGACCCUCCCUCGAGGCCGGCCCACGCCCCGGCGUGGAGCGGGGAGCUGCUGCCCAAGGGCAGCGGCCCCGACGCGGCGGCUGCGGCGGUGCGGCACGAGGGGUGGAUGGUGCGGUACGGGCGGCGGAAGAUCGGGAUGUCCUUCUUCCACGCUACUUCGUGCUCGACAACAAGCUCCUCGCAUACUACAAGAAGCAACCCAAGGACAACAACAUGGUAGUUGCUCCAGACCUUCAGAGCUCCGUACCAGAGUUUCUGGUCAGAGUCAGAUUGUUUGAGCUGUUAGGGCCGCGGUCCACCUUCCGGAGUGACCUCCCAUUGCUUCCUGGCGAGUUUUCAGCGGGAUUUUUCCUCGCUCAUGGCGCACUCUGGCCAAUUUUGGCGGAGCGGGGCAGGGCGAUCGGAGGAUCCUAUAUCGGUCGCAGUUCUACUACUCGCGGUAAAUAAUUUGGACGGAGAGCAGUUCGGUUCCACGGCUAGGCCGGGAUCUGCUGGGUUGAACUAAAUGUUUCUUCGUGCAGUGAGAAUCACAUGAGCUGGUGUCAAUCGAUUGUAAAAUCUGAAGUUGAGCAAAUCUGUUCAUUAUAAUUUGCAAGUGCUCUAUUGAGCUGGGGCUCUUGAACAAGAGGGGAUGCUUUUAGUUGAGUCUCGGAAGUGCUAACGAAUGUGCCUCGUGAAUUAGUGGGAUUUUCCUUUUUCAACGCACCCAUUUUUGAAUUUAUAGCUGCAAGUAAAUAGUUUUUUCGGACAUAAAACAAUGCUUCAUUUUUAUUUUAUAAGAGAAAUAACAAAACCUCUAUCAUAUAGCUUCAUUUUAAGCAGAAAAUAAUGCUUGAAUUAAUCCAUUGAAACCAAAUGAAAAUUAAGCUACAACUACUUACUAUUGAAUCAAGAAACAAGAUCAAUUAGGUAGAUUUAGAUAGCUAGGUUUAGAGAUUGAAUCAAUCACUAUUGUGUAGUGUUUUUUAGUACAAGGUCGCAAAGUAUUCUUUUAGUAGGAAAGCCUUGAGAUAUUUUUUUACCCGGUGCAACGCACGGGCAUUUGUACUAGUAUAACUAAAUUACUUCAAGUGAUGCAAUAUUUCCUAUCUCUAUUCAAAUUAAUAGCCUUCGUGAAUGUUGAGAGGAGACAUCGCUCGCAUUAUCACCUUGUUUCCAUGAAGCAUAUUACUCUUGUUGUUCUAGAUUAGUAUGUUGAGGUAAUUCAAGCUGACGGCAAAAGUCCAUUCCCUCGCCUCUUGCAAUCGACACAGGAAUAACGCGGUGAGGCUACGUCCAUGGGAAAACUCUUAAUUUUUGUAAUGAUAACUAGAGUGGGGAAACUAUGAUGGUGGCCUAUGUGUUAUGAACUCUACAUAGAGUAGAACAUAUUAUGUACCCGGAUCCGUAAUUACGGAUACGACAAAGAUCUUUUCUACGCACUUGUUGCAUGGUUCAUAUUAUUAGCGACGACUCUAGAUCCUUGGAGAACACUCUACUGCCUAAGCACCGUCCUUACUAACUUAGUGUCUUUUAUUUCUUGUUUUUACAUUUUCGUUUGAAGCCUAAAUAAUACCGUUUUUACAUAUUUCCCUCGCAACUUAUAGAGUAAACUAUUUCCAAAUCACUAUUUGAGUGGGUACGAAACUAUGUCGGUGACAAUGUAGUUGUGGGUUUGGUAGUGCCUUCCUUUCCGCUCCCAUGGGUUUGACUCUCUAUUUAUCAUGAAAGUUCUACAACACCAUGUACUGUUGUAGGAUAUCAUUUACCAUCCUCCCAUCAUCGCGUGCAUAUGUGUCGAUGUGAUAAUAUACUUGCCAAGCUAGUGGAAGCUAGAUACAUGAGGAUAUGCGAUUAAUACCAAGAAGUUGCCAUGCCCCCACACAGCAAGGAGCUAAGGUUUCAGCCUGCCCCCUCCUCCAACACAAAACAUUGUGAUGCUAUAUAGCAAAAAUAAGUUUUCAUGCCCUACAGAGAAAAAAUUGUGGGUUUAACACCCAAUCCCCGAUAUUUGUCAUCGUGAAAACAACAAAUUUUUCAUGGCACAUAGAAUAAAAUGCAAUGGUACAAUAAAAAAAACUACAUGCACAAGUAAAAUUGCCAUGAUCCACCGCAAUUUUAAGAAUAUACGUACUACGAAAAGGCAAAUUUAGGGGGGGGGGGUUACAAAAUAUAUUUUAUAAAUCAUGGAUAAUUAAAAAAUGUAAUAAUCGCAUGGCAAAAUUAGGAAUGUUUUCAAUAUAACAUGACAACUUUUGGGAAAUUGGCAAUGGUCGGAUGGAAAAAUUAUAUACAAAGUAUAUAAUUAAAAUGCCAAAUUUAGAGAAUAAUAUUUGCCAUAGGAACUUAGUAAUGGUUCAUAAAAAAGUCUAAAAAAACUUAAAAACAUGGUAACAUGACAAUAAACCAAUAAAAAAUCUAGGAUAAGAUGGCAAACUCUUAGAAAAUUAUUCUCUAACUCAUACUCCAUCCGUCUCAAAAUAACUGUCUCAAGCUUAGUAUAAUUUUAUACUAGAGCUAGUACAAAGUUGAGACACUUAUUUUGAGACGGAGGGAGUAAAAAUUGAGAAAAUUACACGUGUUAAUAGGCCCAGAUUGGCCCUGCAAGCCCCUGAGAAUGUUGUGGGCAUAAGUCGGCUAAUGAAUAGAUCCACGAGUCAAAGUCUUGAUUUCAUGUCCUCCCAUCUUAUUGUUCCUUACAUGAAAACUCUUCCUAUGUUUCAAAACAAUGUCAGUGAAAAAUUCGGAAAGUGUUUAUACAAUAUAAAAAAAAUUGUAAUAUGAAUUUUUUCUGUACCAUUGGAAAAUUGUAUUUGACAUUUUAAAGAAUUUUUCUCACAUGUUGACCAAGUAUUCCAAAAAGUGUUCAAAACAUGUAGUAAAAUAAAAACAUACUUCCUCUGUUUCUAAAUAUAAGUAUUUUUAGAAAUUUCACAAGAUGACUACGUAUAGAGCAAAAUGAGUGAAUCUAUACUCUAAAGUAUUUCUAUAUAUAUCUGUAUGUAGUCGAAUGAUGGAAUCUCUAAAAGGAUAUAUAUUUAGAAACGGAGGGAGUAUAUAGUGUAUUUGGAAAAUGUUCAACGUGUAUCAAAAACAAAGAUUGAAAUGGACAGUAAAAAUGUAUACUAUGCACUGGAAAACAAAAGUAGGCAUUUGUUAGAAAAACCAAUGAGAAUCGAUAAAUAAACAAAAAUAANUGAAGAACAUGGUGCUAUUAUGAAGCACAAGUGCUGUCUCUUAUACACAUCUCCGAGCCCACGAGACUUAUAGUUCAUCUCGUAUGCCGUCUUCUGCUUGAAAAAAAAAAUAAAAAACAAACGGAAACCAAGAAAGAAACAAAGAAAACCGGUAAAAAAUCAAGAGAAAGCUAGUGAAGAUAACAAAAACAAAUAGUGACCCCUGCUAUACCCCGCCCCUUCUUAAGUACACCUAUCCAACCAAAACUAGCAACCUGGAUCGAAACCAGCGAACAAGAAAAAAAAAAUAUGAUAAUGGGCCAGGCGAGAAGCUACACCUGGGGUAAAAACCAUCAGCAAGAUUUAUGUUAAAACAUAUACAAUGAUUGAUAAGAUAGUUUUAUUUUAAAAAUAUAUUUAAUUUAGUUAUGAAAAAAACAUGUCUAUAAUAAAUUAUAUCUUAUCUUUAAUAAGUAGCUAUUUCUGAAAGUAUGAUGAGACGUAUUACGUUAAGAGAUCAUCUCUUAAAUAAGAGAAGACAAGUAUUCCCCCCCCCAUAUAUAUUUUCUUUUUCCUCCACCUAGGUAUUCUAUUCUAAGUGACACUCCUAAAAUAACACUAGUGUACAUGCACUUAGUCUCCUUAUAAGCAAGAUAUAACACUUGCGCCUGUCAGUGGUGAGCUGUUUUUUUUAAUAACUGCUGUGGAGCUGCUGACACGAGGACUCUGUUAAACUGUAUUUCUUUUUGUUUUUGAUAGCAAAAGAGGCCGUGCGUUGCAACGGGAGAAAAAAAAUACCACACGCUUUUAACUUUUUAUAAUCAUUUUGAUUUAUUAAAAUAGUAAGCUAACUAACUAAUGUAGUCAGUCCUAUCCUAUUUUGUUGAGAAAUCAACCCGUUCAUUGUUAAUUCCACCAUGAUGAGAAAUUGAGCGGGACAAGCAAAAUAAAACAAAGAGGCUACGUGAAUUGAUCAAUGGACUGAUAUCUUAUUUCACUCAUGGGGUAGAGAAUGUGGGAUCAGAUGACAAACUGAAGGUGGUGUUCCAUUCUCUGUCUCUACAACAAUACAAUCUUACAUUCAAUACAUUCAUUCAUCAGAAAACAAAUCACCACAAAAUAAAAUUUCUUGCCAGUGUUUGGCACACGGUUGGAGGCAUGGGGAGGGGAUCUUACCAGAUGAUGAGUUCCUGCCGGAGGAGGGGAUACGAUGAGGGGAGCAAGGGUUAGGCGCAUCUAUCUGACCAUAAGGAGUCGCCGUUGCUGCGCCAUAACCUCGGAGUUCCCCGUGUGAGUCAUGGAGGCCCGCCUCCACCUGCAAGUACUUCGCUCCGCCGCGCCGCCACCGUUCUGCAUCGAGCAGACGCAUAAUCCCCAGUCACUAUAGUUGUCGCGUUGAUUUGAUCCAGAAGUUGUGCUCGAGUGCCGAAACGGGGGCAGCAAGCGGGCAGAGGUACGGCCACGGAGGCGGGUGGGUUGAGAUCGACAACAGUGGUGGUUGAGGUCGGCCGCGGCGGCGAGUGGUGCGGCAGCGGCCUGGACACAGGCCAGGAUGGACCAGGGUCGACGCGAUGCGCUCAAGCGCCGCAACGGGGGCAGUGAGCGAGGAGAGGUACGGCCGCGGAUGCGGGUGUGUUGAGAUCGGCAGCGGUGGCGGUUGAGGUCGGCCGCGACGGCGAGUGGUGUGGCGGCGGCCUGGGCACAGGCCAGGGUGGCCCAGGGUCGACGGGAGGAGGCGAUGCGUACGGGUAUAAUUUUUGCAGCGAAUCAUUUUUUUCCUUUUGCGUUGCAGGUAAAUGAUGGAGCGCGGGUUGAAUAACAAAAAUUACAGGGGCUUUUUUAUAAAAAUAUCAUGGUGGGUUUUCCAACGGAAGCAAUAGCCGCUUUAUUAUUACUAGCAAAUAUGCCCGUGCGAUGCAACGAGAAAAAACUAUUAGAUUAUAUAGGUGUGGUAGGUAUAAAAAAGUAUGAUUUCUUAAACAAAAAAUAUGAUGCUCAUCGCGACUUGAUUUCUUAAGGCGUCACAACAUAAUAUUUUAUAGUUGAGCAAACUACAUUUACAAAUCCUGCCUGAGCUAUACUGAUGAAUGAUGUGCCACGUCUUAACUUAGUGUAGCGGUGCUUACCAUAACCAGUAUUCUUGUAUGAGAAUAAACAUGAUUAUGUACAAAACUAAUUCAUAAAAAGUUGUGUCAAUUUCGUUAGGGCUGAGCGUUGUACAAAACACGGAAACCUUUUUUACCUAACGCGAGUGACUACAUAAAAUCAUAAAACGAUCUUCAGAGAUCUCAUAAUAAAACCUUUAUGUAAGCGACAAUUUGUUUUGUUCAUUAUUUACGGAUGUGUUUUAGUUUUUGCAAACAUUUUCUAAAAAUUGAUGGAGAUGUUUUUCAAAAUCCUGAAUAUGCUUUGCAUACCGGAUCAUUUUAAAAAAUCUUGAACAUUUCUUAUUUCAUGAAAAUUUAUUUGAAUUUGUGAUUUUUUUUAUAAUGUGUGAGCAAUUUCUGAACUAAUGAACUUUCUAUGAUUUUCCGAAUAUUUUUCUGAAUUCACAAAUAGUUUAUCAUUUUCCUAUUUUUUGUAAAAGUCGCAACUUUUUGAUAUGCAAGGGUCUAAAUAAAAUCAUGAAAUAAUCUUUACAGAUCUCCUAAUAAAACCUUUACGUAAGCGACUAUUCAUUUUGUUCAUUAUUUAUGAAUGUGUAUUAAUUUCUGUGAAGAUUUUCUAAAAGAUGAUGGACAAGCUAUUCAAAUCCAUGAAUAUGUUUUGGUUACUGGAUAAUUUUAUAAAAAAUCACGAUCAUUUAGUAUUUAAUUACAAUUUAUCUGAAAUCGUGAUUUGUUUUAUAAUAUGUACAAUUUUCGAACUCAUGAAUAUUUUAUGAAUCAUGAUCAUUUAGUAUUUAAUUACAAUUUAUUUGAAAUUGUGAUUUGUUUUAUAAUACAUGAGCAAUUUUCAAACUCAUGAAUAUUUUAUGACUUUCUAAAUAUUUUUUCGAAUACACAAACAGUUUUUUGUUUUUUCCUACAUUUUUUAUACUCAUAACUUUUUGAUAUUUUGUUCUUUUGAAAUAUGGAAUUAAUUUAGAGAAGAAAUAACGAAAAAUGAAAUUAAAAAAAAACAAAAUAGGGGCACCCUGACCUGCACAUGGGUCGGCCAUGCUUUGGAGAGGUACACAAAAAGGAGAGAAAAACACAAGUGAGAACGAGGGAUCGAACCCUGGUCUCCCAAGUGGAGAUUUGAACCGAUAGCCAUCGCGCUACUCAUCGACAAUUGUUGUGCUAACGUAUCGGCGUCUAUAACAACAAAUAACGACGCCAAUUUCAGAAAUCCGAAAAACGAACCCUUUUUUUGACUUUCGAGUGACAUUGGUGGGUAAUUUUAGCCAACUAUGGGGGCAAUUUAAAUGACGGACGACCAGAAACAGUAUUUGCUUUAUUAUUAUUUAGUAUUUGCUUUAUUAUUAUUUAGUAUUUACAAUCAUGAUCAUUUAGUAUUUCAUUACAAUUUAUUUGAAGUCGUGAUUUAUUUUAUAAUACGUGAGCAAUUUUCGAACUCAUGAAUAUUUUAUGACUUUCUGAAUAUUUUUUCGAAUACACAAACAGUUUUUGCUUUUUUCUACAUUUUUUAUACUCAUAACUUUUUGAUAUUUUGUUCUUUUGAAAUCUGGAAUUAAUUUAGAGAAGGAAAAACCAAAAAUAAAAUGAAAAAUUACAAAACAGGGCGCCCCGACCUGCACAUGGGCCGGCCCAUGCUUUAGAGAGGUAAAGAAAAAGGAAAAUAGGUGAGAACCCCGGAUCGUCGACUUGAACCGAUAGCCAUCGCGCUACUCGUCGGUUGUUGCUUUGGUAAAGUAUUGGUCCAUAUAACAACAAAUAACGGUGUCGACUUCAGAAAUCCGAAAAACAAACCUUUUUUUGACUCAUGAGUGUCAUUGGUGGGUAAUUUUAGCCAACUUCGGAGGCAUUUUUAUUUGACAGACGACCAGAAACACUAUUUGCUUUAUUAGUAGGUACUAGUACAAAUGCCCGUGCGUUGCACCGGGCAAAAAAUAUCUCAAGGCUUUCCUACUAAAAGAAUACUUUGCACCCUUGUACUAAAAAACACUACACAAUAGUGAUUGAUUCAAUCUCUGAACCUAGCUAUCUAAAUCUACCUAAUUGAUCUUGUUUCUUGAUUCAAUAGUAAGUAGUUGUAGCUUAAUUUUCGUUUGGUUUCAAUGGAUUAAUUCAAGCAUUAUUUUCGGCUUAAAAUGAAGCUAUAUGAUAGAGGUUUUGUUAUUUCUCUUAUAAAAUAAAAAUGAAACAUUGUUGUAUGUCCGAAGAAACUAUUUACUUGCAGCUAUAAAUUCAAAAAUGGGUGCGUUGAAAAAGGAAAACCCCACUAAUUCGCGAGGCACAUUUGUUAGCACUUCCGAGACUCAACUAAAAGCAUCCCCUCUUGUUCAAGAGCCCUAGCUCAACACAUCACUUGCAAAUUAUAAUGAAAAGAUUUUCUCAGCUUCAGAUUUUACAAUCGAUUGACACCAGCUCAUGUGAUUCUCACUGCACGAAGAAACAUUCAGUUCAACCCAGGAGAUCCCGGCCUAGCCGUGGAACCGAACUGCUCUCCGCCCAAAUUAUUUACCGCAAGUAGUAGAACGGCGACCGAUACAGGAUCCUUCGAUCGCCCUGCCCCGCUCCGCCAAAAUUGGCCAGAGCGCGCCACGAGCGAGGAAAAAUCCCGCUGAAAACUCGCCGGGAAGCAACGGGAGGUCACUCCGGAAGGUGGACCGCGGCCCUAACAGCUCAAACGAUCUGACUCUGACCAGAAACUCUGGUACAGAGCUGUGAAGGUCUGGAGCACCUACCAUGUUGUUGUCCUUGGGUUGCUUCUUGUAGUAUGCGAGGAGCUUGUUGUCGAGCACAAAGUAGCGGGUGUGGAAGAAGGACCUCCCGAUCUUCCGCCGCCCGUACCGCGCCAUCCACCCCUCGUGCCGCACCGCCGCAGCCGCCGCGUCGGGGCCACUGCCCUUGGGAAGCAGCUCCCCGCUCCACGCCGGGGCGUGGGCCGGCCUCGAGGGAGGGUCAUCCCCUCUGCACGUCCGCCCGAGCUCCCCGCUCCUCGUCGCCUCCCUCCUCAAAGCCAACCGCCACUAAGUCCAUUUAGUGCAUACUUACCUGCGGUGUAUUCGAACUGGCCGGAAUUUUCAACAGCAUGGUGUCGUUCCCCUUCUAAGAUAGUGCCUUUGAUGACCAUCAACAAUUUGUGUGACUGUGCAUUAUGUAAAAUUGCGCAGAAUUUAACCUCAAAUUUAAACAUCCUGUGUGGUGGUCCUAAAUUCCAUGUGUUUGAAAUGUACGUGUGAAGACAUUCNUUUGGUUUCAAUGGAUUAAUUCAAGCAUUAUUUUCGGCUUAAAAUGAAGCUAUAUGAUAGAGGUUUUGUUAUUUCUCUUAUAAAAUAAAAAUGAAACAUUGUUGUAUGUCCGAAGAAACUAUUUACUUGCAGCUAUAAAUUCAAAAAUGGGUGCGUUGAAAAAGGAAAACCCCACUAAUUCGCGAGGCACAUUUGUUAGCACUUCCGAGACUCAACUAAAAGCAUCCCCUCUUGUUCAAGAGCCCUAGCUCAACACAUCACUUGCAAAUUAUAAUGAAAAGAUUUUCUCAGCUUCAGAUUUUACAAUCGAUUGACACCAGCUCAUGUGAUUCUCACUGCACGAAGAAACAUUCAGUUCAACCCAGGAGAUCCCGGCCUAGCCGUGGAACCGAACUGCUCUCCGCCCAAAUUAUUUACCGCAAGUAGUAGAACGGCGACCGAUACAGGAUCCUUCGAUCGCCCUGCCCCGCUCCGCCAAAAUUGGCCAGAGCGCGCCACGAGCGAGGAAAAAUCCCGCUGAAAACUCGCCGGGAAGCAACGGGAGGUCACUCCGGAAGGUGGACCGCGGCCCUAACAGCUCAAACGAUCUGACUCUGACCAGAAACUCUGGUACAGAGCUGUGAAGGUCUGGAGCACCUACCAUGUUGUUGUCCUUGGGUUGCUUCUUGUAGUAUGCGAGGAGCUUGUUGUCGAGCACAAAGUAGCGGGUGUGGAAGAAGGACCUCCCGAUCUUCCGCCGCCCGUACCGCGCCAUCCACCCCUCGUGCCGCACCGCCGCAGCCGCCGCGUCGGGGCCACUGCCCUUGGGAAGCAGCUCCCCGCUCCACGCCGGGGCGUGGGCCGGCCUCGAGGGAGGGUCAUCCCCUCUGCACGUCCGCCCGAGCUCCCCGCUCCUCGUCGCCUCCCUCCUCAAAGCCAACCGCCACUAAGUCCAUUUAGUGCAUACUUACCUGCGGUGUAUUCGAACUGGCCGGAAUUUUCAACAGCAUGGUGUCGUUCCCCUUCUAAGAUAGUGCCUUUGAUGACCAUCAACAAUUUGUGUGACUGUGCAUUAUGUAAAAUUGCGCAGAAUUUAACCUCAAAUUUAAACAUCCUGUGUGGUGGUCCUAAAUUCCAUGUGUUUGAAAUGUACGUGUGAAGACAUUCAGAGUGAUCAAUAAAGCUUGAUGUUCCCCUCAUCAUGAACUAAUCUCCUUGAACAUGAAGGGCCAUGACCUAUCCACGCUGGCCGUUUCCUACACUCUACCCAAAUCCUCAGCGACCAUCCAUCACAAACAAGUUGAAGUUCAUCAUGGGAGCGGCGUGAGACAUAUAUAAUACGUACCCUCUCAUCCUCCGUCGGUGUCGAUGUCGGCGCCGGCGCCGCCGCGCUGCUCCUCCUGCUGCCGCUGCUGUACAUUUGGUUUGAAGGGGGCUCCGUUCGGUGGCUCGACGGCACCGUAAGGGACAGGCCCGUGCUCACCUGGUCGGCGUAAGAUUUGCGUAAGUUUGAGGCCUCGUUCGUGUGUACACAUGCAUACCAACGCAGUGCGGUGACGUGGAGAGGGCAGGCACGUACCAUUGGAUUUGGGACUGGAGGUUGCGGGCACAGGCUUCUCUUGUACAAAGUGCUUGGCUGGAUCUGCCGGGCUCCAGAGCGCCGGCUUGAAGCCGCAGUGGUCCGCGGCGGCCGGCCUCGACAGGGCGCUCAGCGGGGGCUGCGGCGGGGAGGUGGCAGAGGGCCCUACCGUUGAACGCGUGCGACGAGGGCGUGUCCGCGGACGACCCUCCCCCAUCUUCUUUUGCUCCUCGAUGCGGAGCUUCUCGAGCUGCGCCAAGCCGAGGUUGCGCUGCGGGAUCUUCUUGGGCUUGCUCUUCCUCGAGGCCCCGCGCCACGCCGGUGGCCGCGCCGUUGCCGUUGCCGUUGCCUGCACUGCCGCGCGCCGCCGCCUCCAGCCNCGCCCCUCGGCCUCGCCUCCACCUCUGACCAUCGCCGCGACGCUCGCCAGCGCUAGAGCUGCCGUCGACGGACCGACCUCCUCCUCAGCCAGAUCGGGACCGGACCAUCCCGAUCCACCCCCAUCCCUAGACCGGUGGAGGACAGGUUUUUUUUGAAAAAAUAAAACGUUUUUAUUCCACUUAAUCAUGGAUUGCGGGUUGAUUCCACGAAAAUGGAGGGAUUUUUUUGCAAAAAUGCCAUGACAGACGACCAGAAAUCCUAUUUGCUUUAUUAUUACUAGCAAAAGGGCCCGUGCGUUGCAACGGAAGAAACAAUUAUAAUCUCCAAUGACGCUGGACAUAUUAUGUUUUUAAAAUUUUAGCACAUUUCUUGAAAUGCAUGAACAUUUUUUGAAUUAGCAAACAUCUUUUUCAAUAUCACUCAAAAAAUUAUACCUAAUUUUUUUUCUUCAAAAUCAUGGGAUUUUAUUAUUUUCACCAACAUUGUUCUCAAAAUUAUGAACAUUUUUCUGAAUAUGCGAAUAUUUUUACAAAAAUCCCAAACAUUUUUUGAAUUCACAAAUAUUUUAUGUUUUCUUCAAACUUUUAUUUCAAAAUUCUAAGUUUUAUAAAUUACAUAAAUUUUCCAAAGUUCUAAAUUUUUUAAAUUAAAAAGUGGAACAGAAAAAUGAAAAUAAAAAACGAGACUAAAAACAGAGGCACGAACUGUUUUUAAGAUUUUUACACGGACUUUUGUUUAAAAUCAUUGACUUUUUUAUUUUAUGGAAAUUUUCUCAAAAUUUAAACAUUUUUUGCAUAUGCAAACAUUUUUCAAAACUGCCGAGUAGUUUUUGAAUUCUCAAAACUAUUAUGUUUUUUUAAAUAUUUUAUUUCGAAAUUCUCUGUUUCUUAAAAUUGAAAAAAGUUAUUUAAAGUUUCAAAUUAUUUAAAGUAGAAAAAAGAAAUGAAACAGAAAAGAAAAAUUGAAAACUAAACUAAAAAAAAUAGACGCCCACGCAUGGGCCGGCCCAAACAGGUGUGCUGCAUUUUUUCCAAUGCCCCAAGCGUAAUAUAGGAGACGCCUACAUGGGCCGGCCCAGUCCGGUGAUUUUUCUGUUUUAAACGUUUUCUGUUACUUAUAUGUGGUAUUGGUGGGUAAUUUUAGCCAACUUUAGGGGCAAUUUAAAUGACGUACGGCAGAAACAAUAUUUGCUUUAUUAGUAAAUAAUGAAAUGAUUAUUAUAUAUUAUUACUAGGGAGAGAUAGAUUAGGUAUAGAUUUUUAAGGGAGGUCAAAAACUGUAUAUUUCACUACAUCGCGACCAGGCGGACAGAGCAGCACACAAGCAAGUCGCCUUUCCACCUUGACCGGAACCGGAAGCUCCCCACGAUGCGCCGGCGUCGCCAUCAGAAACGUGGCAGAUGAUGGUUGAGAGUGACGAGAGACGCCACAUGCAGCAAACACUUGCAGGAGCAGUCAACGCCUCUGAUUGAUUACCUUUAGCCAGUCAGGGACGGAUGCGCGCGCGAGCUUACUCAUCUCCUUCCUCCUACUCCGGUCAGAGAGGCACCCAACACAACAGACCCCCUCUCCGGCCCUCUUACACCAGCCUUGCUAUAUCAGAGCGACGAUUUAUCCGGGCGGGUUGCACUUUAUCCUCCGUUUCCAACAAGAAGAAACGCUGGGCGCCGCACACCAAGAAGAUCGGGCAGAAGGAAGACAUCGGCUCAGGCAAGUAUAUAAUAAGUUACCCUGCCUGCUUUCAUGCAAUCACCUUGCCACUGCAUCUGCUACUGCUACUCUACGUCUACGGUCAGUUUCUGCUGCUCGAUCGAGCUGAUCGUCCAUGGCUGGUUACUCUAGGUCUGCAACGCCUAGGUUUCUCAAGCGUAAUCGCCCGCUUCAGUCAGUCACCUUUUCCUGCAGCUGCUGCCCGUCCUCUGGUUUUCAGAACCUGCAAACGCGGAUCGUUUCUUGAAUCUUGAAUAAUUCGUUUCGAAUUGAGCAGCUCAUGGAGUCGAUGGCUUCUGGGUAGUAGUAUGAUCGGUUGGAGAUUAUGUAUUGUCAAACGAAAUUACUUACUGGAUUUCCCUCCCUCCCAUCUUAUUGUGGGGCAUAAGACUGAAGAAAAAUACUAGACACGUGCCCACGUUUCACUAGCUCAUAGUCCAAAUGUCAAGCCGACCACGCAAGCGGAGGGCAAUGGCUGGUUGGUUGGUUGGUUGCAUGUCAACCAGUGCCAUGUCAAUCGCCUGACACAUGCCGUGACGCAGCCACCGUUUACAAGUCCAAGCACGAGGCGCUACGGCAAUCAGUUUUGUCAACAUUAUCACCAUCUCAUCAGUCAGGGCCAACAUUAUCUCUAUCUUGCCAGUACUAGCCACUGGAAUGAUUCUUCUAUGCGCUUUUCUGACCAAUGUCAUAAACUCAUAAUGCAGCAGGAAGCAGCAAGAAGGCGUUGAGAGCUUGGGCAUGUCAGGCAUGUCAGCGGCUGUCACUGCAACUGGUAAGAUACACACACCCGCACCUAACAGAACAGAAUGACUAGAUUUUGUAAUUGUCAUCAGUAAUCAGUUUUUCUAUAGCUAAGUAAGCUAACCCGUGUUCUUGCCUCGAUUCAUCCAGUAUCGGCGGUCUGUGCGACCGUGGCGGUGGUCAUAACCAUGGCCGUGAUCAGGCGAUGCCGCCACGUGAGGAAGAAAAUGCACAAGAAGGUCGUGACCAAGAUCAUGGAGGAGAUCAGCAAAAGGAACCGUGACCGCCGAGCAGCCCCGGACGACGUGGUGAUCGAGAUCGGCCCCGUGGAGAAGUUCCUCCACGACAUCCUCAACGAGAAGCCGAUGCGGUUCAGCUCCCAGCAGCUGGCGUCCUUCACCGGGAACUACUCCACCGAGCUCGGCUCCGGCGGCUUCGGGGUGGUGUACAAGGGGGAGCUCCCCAACCGGCUGUCUGUGGCGGUGAAGCUGCUCAAGAUGUCCAUGAACAAGAAGGUGCAGGAAGGGUUCAUGGCCGAGAUCGGCACCAUCGGCCGGACCUACCACGUGCACCUCGUCAGGCUCUAUGGCUUUUGCUUCGACCCCGACACUAAGGCGCUCGUCUACGAGUACCUGGAGAACGGAUCGCUGGAGAAGUACCUCUAUCACGACGGCGACGACGGCGAGGAUAGGCGGGAGAGGCUCGAGUGGCGGACGCUACACAACAUAGCCGUCGGCACCGCCAAGGGGAUCCGGUACCUGCACGAGGAGUGCCAGCACAAGAUCGUGCACUAUGACAUCAAGCCGGCCAACAUCCUCCUCACGGCCGACUUCACGCCCAAGGUGGCCGACUUCGGGUUGGCCCGGCUGGGCGAGCGCGAGAACACGCACAUGUCGUCGCUGACGGGCGGCGGUCGAGGGACGCCGGGCUACGCGGCGCCGGAGCUGUGGAUGGCGCUGCCGACGACGGAGAAGUGCGACGUGUACAGCUUCGGGAUGGUGCUGUUCGAGAUCCUGGGGCGGCGCCGGAACUAUGACGCCCGGCUGGAGGACGAGAGCAGAGAGUGGUUCCCUAAGUGGGUCUGGGACAAGUACGAGCAAGGGAAUAUGGAGUGCAUCGUGUCCGCGGCGGCCGGCGUCGGGGAGGCGGACCGGGAGAGGGCGGAGACCAUGUGCAAGGUGGCGCUCUGGUGCGUGCAGUUCCAGCCGUCGGCGCGGCCGACAAUGAGCAGCGUGGUGCGGAUGCUGGAGGGGGAGAUGGCCAUCGUGCCGCCGGUGAACCCGUUCCAUUACGUGUCGGGCGGCGGCAGCUCCAGCGGCUGGGCGCUGUCGAGCGGCACCGGCACCGG